UACGGGGGGUGCGAGCGUUGUCCGGAAUCACUGGGCGUAAAGGGCGCGUAGGUGGUUUGAUAAGGGUGUGGUGAAAGUCCGGGGCUCAACCCCGGAUCUGCCGUGCCGACUGUCAAACUCGAGGACUGUAGAGGCAGACGGAAUUCCGGGUGUAGCGGUGGAAUGCGUAGAGAUCCGGAGGAAGACCGGUGGCGAAGGCGGUCUGCUGGGCAGUUUCUGACACUGAGGCACGACAGCGUGGGGAGCAAACAGG
rnacentral:rRNA from 1 species